GCGCCGCCGCGGUUGCCUGCGCCGCCGCACGCUUCCCGCUACCCACCGCCGGAUCCCGCCUCCCGCCGUCCGCGUCGCGUCCGCAACUGCGUGCCGUCGCUGCCUGUGCUCUGCCUCGCCGCCUCCUCGACUCCUUGAGCCGGAGCUCGCUUCCGCCGGUGGCCAGCAGCAGCACCACCAGCAGGUCCCGCGUCGUCCCGCGACCCUUCUUCCUCAGCACUGCCCGAGCUCGCGCCCGACCGAGGCCAGCCAACCCCGCCACUAGAGGCCACCGUCGCCACCGCAGAUGAGCGCCGCCCCACUCCUUUCUCACCUCUCCCUCCGGUUCCCCCUGCUCAUCUCCCUCCCUGGUUUCUUCUCUACAGGAGCGCCAUGGCCGCUGAUCCCAUGCCCGAGGCCUCCUCAUCGCCGUCGUCGUCUGCUUCGUCUCCCGCCCCUGCGUGCCUGGACUCCACCUCUCGCACCUCCGCCCGUGCCCAACCUCUGCUCGCCUCCUCGGCCUUGCUGUCGUUGCUCUGUUCGUCGAGAACGAGCGAGCGGGAUGCCCGUUCCGCCUCCGUGUCCUUGUCAAACUCCUGCUCCCGUGUCCUUCUCAAACAAAGAAACUGUACGGACCCGGAUUUGUAGUUCGAUGCUAUAUAUUGAAUUGUUCUCCGCCGGAAUCCAGAACCAGGCCAGCGCCACCAGCGAGCAGUGCACCUUGAAUUGUUCUCUGCCGGAAUCGUGAAUCAGGCCAGCGCCACCAGCGAGCAUUGCACCGUCGCUUGGGGAUUUGCCAGUCGUAACACCAUGCUCAGCAUCAUGUCGCCUUUGUGUGCGCCGGAGGAACAGGCACCGAGUUCGCCUUUGAGUACGCCGGACGAACCGGCACCAAGUUCGCCGGAAUUCUUGGUCCAGAGAAGCACUAUGAGUCCAACGGUGGCUACAACAGAGAUCCCAAAGACUGAUAGAACUCAGGUGGAGGCCAAGGAGAUUCGGCUCUCGAACAUGCCACCAGUAACACUUGAUGAUAGCAACAUGCACAUUAAAACAAAUGACAUCACUGAAAUGAACAUUCGAGAGGAUUUCGAUAACCGGCCUUCAAAAAAAGCAAAAAUUUCUGAAUCAGGUGUUUUGGAGACAUCACCAAUGUCACCAACUAUGUCAGCAUCUAAUCAAGUUUCUGAAUGUUUUGAAUCGAUUGUGCCUGAAUCAGAUAAUCAGAUAGAUCAUGAACCAUUGCAAUCACCUCCAUCACCGUCUAGCUCGACAUUAACUCCUGUUUUAAUAUUACAUGAUGUCAAGGGACCAGAUCCAAAUAAAGGGAUCAAAGUUGAUGAGACAUAUGAUUAUCUCCCACAAGACUAUACAUUGACCGAUCAUGAUCUAUGUGCUCAUAUAGCAAUAGAAUCAUCUUUGAGAAAACAGUUGCUCGUUCAGAUAGAUGGAAGUUGUGUCUUGCAAAAUCAAUUGAUGUGCCUGCUAAAUGAAAAGGAGUGGGUAAAUGAUGAUGUGAUCAAUGCAUAUAUAUGUUGUAUGAAGGACCAAAUACAUGUCCAGAAUGAUAAUAAAUUAAAGUAUAUUUUGAGAGUCCAUUUGUUACCUCACUAUUUAAACGAGAUGGCAAACUUGGAAUACAAAAAGAUAGUGCCUUCAUGACAGAGACCGUCAUUGAAUAUAUGCAACAUGACAUGAUUAAACUUCCAAUAAAUGCCAACAACACACAUUGGUAUCUAGCUGUCGUGAAUACAAAAAAACAUGAGGUUCAAGUACUGGACUCAUUGUGCUGGAACUCUGACCGUGAUGAUCUCGCUCAUACGCUACGAGGAGUACAAUUUCAUUUGGACCUUCUUAAGAGUCAAAACUUGGUAAAAGACAAUUGGAAAGACAUUGAUCUCACCGAAUGGAAGAUCACGGAACAAUUACAAAAGGCAAUUCAAAAAGACAGUUAUUCAUGUGGUUUGUUUGAGGAGGUCGCUGGAGGGAGUCGCGGUUGAGCUCGCGAGAGCGCAUCUUGGGAGGUUGGUUCGGGGUAAUUGUGGCCUUUUCGUCUGUGGCCUUUUUGUCUGUACGUCCUACCAAAGAGAAGAUGACAAUAACACCAUCUCAAAAUAGACUUUUAGACAACAAUGACUGCGCGCUACAUAUGGUAUGUUUAUUUUUAGAGAUAUGGUAGAGAGUCUCUAAUGAAUAUAUUAAAAUUUCAUAAUCA